UACAGAGGGGGCCAGCGUUAUUCGGAAUUAUUGGGCGUAAAGGGCGCGUAGGCGGCCUGCUAAGUCGAACGUGAAAUCCCCGGGCUCAACCCGGGAACUGCGUCCGAUACUGACAGGCUUGAAUCCGGGAGAGGGAUGUGGAAUUCCAGGUGUAGCGGUGAAAUGCGUAGAUAUCUGGAGGAACACCGGUGGCGAAGGCGGCAUCCUGGACCGGUAUUGACGCUGAUGCGCGAAAGCCAGGGGGAGCCAAACGGGG
rnacentral:rRNA from 1 species